rnacentral:rRNA from 1 species
GGGGGGGGGGGGGGGGGGGGGGGGGAGGGGGGGGGGGGGGGGGGGGGGGGGGGGGGGGGCGGGAGGGAGAGGUAGGGGCGGAGGGGUGGGGAGGAGGUAAAGAACCUGCGGCAUAGCCGGGGACAAGUGUUGGAAACGAUAGCUAAUGCCGGAUAACAGUAUUGCUCGCAUGAGAGAUAUUUAAAAGGUGGUUGUGCGAACACUAUGAGAUGGCUUUGCGGUGCAUUAGCUAGUUGGUGGGGUAAAGGCCCACCAAGGCGACGCUGCAUAGCCGACCUGAGAGGGUGAUCGGCCACACUGGGACUGAGACACGGCCCAGACUCCUACGGGAGGCAGCAGUAGGGAAUCUUCAGCAAUGGGCGAAAGCCUGACGGAGCAACGCCGCGUGAGUGAAGAAGGAUUUCGGUUCGUAAAGCUCUGUUGUUAGGGAAGAAUGGAUAUGUAGUAACUAUACAUGUAAGAGACGGUACCUAACCAGAAAGCCACGGCUAACUACGUG